GUGCUUGCUUUAGCAACACAUCUACUAAAAUUGGAACACAGAUACGAUUAGCAUGGCCCCUGCACAGAGGUGACAGGUCUGUGAAGCGAUAUGCAUUUCCCUCAU